CCCUUAGAUGUUCUGGGCCGCACGCGCGCUACACUGAUGCAUUCAACGAGCCUAUCCUUGACCGACAGGUCCGGGUAAUCUUUGAAUCUGCAUCGUGACGGGGAUAGAUUAUUGCAAUUAUUAAUCUUCAACGAGGAAUGCCUAGUAGGCGCAAGUCAUCAGCUUGCGUCGAUUACGUCCCUGCCCUUUGUACACACCGCCCGUCGCUCCUACCGAUUGGGUGUGCUGGUGAAAUGUUCGGAUCGGCCGUUUGUCGCGGUUUCCGCGUCAUGUGGCUGAUAAGUUCAUUAAACCCUCCCACCUAGAGGAAGGAGAAGUCGUAACA
rnacentral:rRNA from 1 species